ensembl:lncRNA
GCCACAAGGAAGAAACUCAGAUGGAGCGAGAAGCUGUGCUUUUCCUUGAAUCCUUUCCUGAUUGGAUGAGAAAACCAGAUGGGAAGCAAAGCAAGCAGAAACGGAGAGCAGAGGAGUGGCGAGGAACGGCGUUUACAGCGGCCGGGACAAAUCAAUUACAGAUUCAAUAAAGUCCAGUUGCCUUUUUUUCCUACACUCUCAAGUCCAUUCUCUGGCCCCUUCUCACUCUUCCUCCGUCCUUCAGACCGCUCAUCUACGGCUCUGCGGUGGUAAUUAACAGCAGCGUUACAUCUCGGGAGAUACUGGGAGCUAUGUCAGAAAAUUAGGCUGUGGAAUAAUGAGGGUUGAGGGACAUGUACUGUACUGCAGCUCCGUAGCGCUGCAUUGAAAUCAAAGGACUUUCGCUGCUAAUUGGAGAGGGGUUAAACUGUGCUUGGC